rnacentral:rRNA from 1 species
AGAGUUUGAUCCUGGCUCAGGAUGAACGCUAGCGACAGGCUUAACACAUGCAAGUCGAGGGGCAGCGGGGGCGUAGCAAUAUGCCUGCCGGCGACCGGCGCACGGGUGAGUAACACGUAUGUAACCUGCCCUAUGCAGGGGGAUAACCCGGAGAAAUCCGGCCUAAUACCGCGUAACACCUUAGGGGAGCAUUCUCUUGAGGUUAAAGGAGAGAUCCGGCAUAGGAUGGACAUGCGUCGCAUUAGGUAGACGGCGGGGUAACGGCCCACCGUGCCGACGAUGCGUAGGGGUUCUGAGAGGAAGGCCCCCCACACUGGUACUGAGACACGGACCAGACUCCUACGGGAGGCAGCAGUGAGGAAUAUUGGUCAAUGGCCGAGAGGCUGAACCAGCCAAGUCGCGUGAGGGAAGAAUGUCCUAAGGAUUGUAAACCUCUUUUGUCGGGGAGCAAAAAGGCUCUGCGGAGUCGUAUUGAGAGUACCCGAAGAAAAAGCAUCGGCUAACUCCGUGCCAGCAGCCGCGGUAAUACGGAGGAUGCGAGCGUUAUCCGGAUUUAUUGGGUUUAAAGGGUGCGCAGGCGGCGUGUCAAGCAAGCGGUAAAAUAGCGGGGCUCAACCCCGUCGAGCCGUUUGAACUGGCGCGCUUGAGUUCAGGCGAGGUAGGCGGAAUUCGUGGUGUAGCGGUGAAAUGCAUAGAUAUCACGAAGAACUCCGAUUGCGAAGGCAGCUUACCAGUCUGCGACUGACGCUCAGGCACGAAAGUGUGGGUAUCGAACAGGAUUAGAUACCCUGGUAGUCCACACAGUAAACGAUGAGCGCUAGGUGUCCGGGUCGCAUGAGACUUGGGUGCCCGAGCGAAAGCGUUAAGCGCUCCACCUGGGGAGUACGCCGGCAACGGUGAAACUCAAAGGAAUUGACGGGGGCCCGCACAAGCGGAGGAACAUGUGGUUUAAUUCGAUGAUACGCGAGGAACCUUACCCGGGCUCAAACGACUCAGGAAUAUAUUGGAAACGAUGUAGCCAGCAAUGGUCUGAGUCGAGGUGCUGCAUGGUUGUCGUCAGCUCGUGCCGUGAGGUGUCGGCUUAAGUGCCAUAACGAGCGCAACCCCUACCGCCAGUUGCCAACGGGUAAAGCCGGGAACUCUGGCGGGACUGCCGGCGCAAGCUGCGAGGAAGGCGGGGAUGACGUCAAAUCAGCACGGCCCUUACGUCCGGGGCGACACACGUGUUACAAUGGCAGGUACAGCGGGAAGCCACCUGGUGACAGGGAGCGGAACCCGAAAGCCUGUCUCAGUUCGGAUUGGAGUCUGCAACUCGACUCCAUGAAGCUGGAUUCGCUAGUAAUCGCGCAUCAGCCAUGGCGCGGUGAAUACGUUCCCGGGCCUUGUACUCACCGCCCGUCAAG